ensembl:lncRNA
AUCUUUCUAUUGCAGAUUAGAAGCACGACUAGCCAGAGGAAAACACACCAGAACACUGACUUACAUGAAAAUCAAGGUAUCAAAGAACAAGAGGUAUCUAUAUGCAAGAACAUGAGGUGAAGUGAAACCAGACACGUUGCUAGCAUAAGCCUGUUGUAUAAAAUAAUUUGAAGUAUGAAACGAUGUUUGCAAUGGUCAUCAACAGAAAAUAACCAAAGAUUGUAUGGUAUAUAGACAGGAUGUUGCUAAAGCUUCACAUAGUCAAGCUACGCUAGUCUUCUAAAUGAGCCUACAACAAAGCUGCAAAAUUUGAUGACAUCAAGUAGAGAAUGGCAGAAAAGGGGAAGACUUUCUAAAAUACUGGUAUAAAACCACUUAUAGGAUUAAUUAGCAAAGAAGGUGUAGCUACUUUUCUUGCUCAACCACGUCAUUUUUGUCUGCUUAAUUUAAUAGGUUAUUAUUUCUACCCCCACAAAUUUUGUCAUUUCAGGGUCAGACAGCGUUUGAACCGGUGGGUUAGGUUUUGCACCAUACAAUCUCUUUCGGUAUUUGCUAAGAACACAGUGUGUUGUCAGGAUAACAAUGCUGGGUGAACAGUACAGAAUACCAAUAUAACAGUGAAUUGGCUUUACGUAAACAUACAGAUGAUUCUUUUGUCUUUUUCUGACUUUGAAUUCAAGCCACUCCACAAUUGCUUUAUAAUAUUUCAAUGGAACAAUCGUAGGAAAAUUGCAGUAACUAUAAACAAGCAUGGAAAAUAUUAUUCUAAUUUUCUUCCUGCAGAUGAGUACAGGACAAAGUAAACAAUCUGUUCAUAGAAAUAUUUGCUCUUCAAACACCGCUCCAAUAAUCCAAACAGAGAUAAGGAUCGUUUGUUAUUCAAGGUUGCCUUUUCAUUUCCAUUUUAGCACAGUUUUCAGUGGCAUAGUGACUUAUCAGUUAAAUGAUUUUAAAGGCAGUGACAGCACACACUGUGACGUAGCAGCUGGAACACUUGGCUGAAGGGGUUGAGCGUUCUCUGCACCCUGCACCUCCCGGCCUGCCUUCAGCUCAGCACUCAGGUACACAGAACAGUCUUCUCAAGGUCUCGCUCUUCCUACAGGCUUUGUAUGAGUUUGUUACGCAGAGACAUAAAGGUGAGGCUAUAGUUACCUCCCCCAACUAAUUUCACACGCAGGUACGUGAGCAGGAUAGGGUCAGAUCCUACGGGCUGUUUUUCUUCAUGCCUCCUUGCCCUAAGAGACCGAUCCGCUCCUUCCUAAAACCCAAAGUGGCUGCGCGCUCAGUCACCUGUAGCCGACAGCCUCCGUUCUGAAGCAGGACCCGGGAGCGCUGCUGCCAGCAGCCGCUAUUCAGAGGCACGCGAGGAGCUCACAACUACUACCCCACCAGACUCCCGCCGCGGCGCUGCCGCCCGGCGCUGAGAGGCG